GCUCAUGAAACUUUAAAUAGCCGCAGUUUCCUGUGCUAAGGUAGCAUAAUCAUUUGUUUUUUAAUUAAAAACUAGAAUGAAAGGUUUAACAUUUAAAUUUGUAUAUUUAUAAUAUUAUUUAAUUUUUAUUAAAUAUAAAAAUAUAUUUAUUUAAUAAAAAGACGACAAGACCCUAUUGAACUUUACUUUUGUUUAACUGGGGCAGUUAAUUAAUUAUAAUUUUAAUUAUAUAUAUAUAUAUAUAUAUAUAUAAAUAACCAAUAAAAUUGAAUAUAAAAAGUUACCAUAGGGAUAACAGCGUAAUAUUAUUUUAAAGUUCUUAUUUAAAUUAAUGUUUGCGACCUCGAUGUUGAAUUAUUAUUCUUUAUAUGUGCAGUAAUUUAUAAAGUAGGUCUGUUCGACCUUUAAUAUAUUACA
rnacentral:rRNA from 1 species